rnacentral:rRNA from 1 species
UCGGGAAUUUUGGGCAAUGGAGGGAACUCUGACCCAGCCAUGCCGCGUGCAGGAUGAAGGCGUUAUGCGUUGUAAACUGCUUUUAUAUAGGAAGAAAUAGUCCUUGCGAGGAAAGUUGACGGUACUAUAUGAAUAAGCACCGGCUAACUCCGUGCCAGCAGCCGCGGUAAUACGGAGGGUGCAAGCGUUGUCCGGAUUUAUUGGGUUUAAAGGGUGUCGUAGGCGGUUUAUUAAGUCAGUGGUGAAAGACGGUCGCUCAACGAUUGCAGUGCCAUUGAUACUGGUAGACUUGAGUAUGAUUGAGGUAGCUGGAAUGGAUAGUGUAGCGGUGAAAUGCAUAGAUAUUAUCCAGAACACCAAUUGCGUAGGCAAGUUACUAAGUCAUAACUGACGCUGAGGCACGAAAGUGUGGGUAUCAAACAGGAUUAGAUACCCCUGUAGUCCCUGAGCGGGCUGGCAAGGCGCAU